CGAACAAAAAAUCGGACGACGCCCUAGCUCCCUCCGCCCGCGGGUCGCCCGCUCCCUCGCGCCCCUGUUGCUCCCUCCUCGAUCCCGAUCUGGAUCGAGGGGACGAGGAGCUCCUGCCUCCCCGACGGCCGACCUCCUCCUCGCCCCGCCGCUGCGUCCGGCGCCGCCACGGUCUCUGGAGCCAGGGAAGCCAUGGCCUGAGCUCGGCCUCGAGGUCCCCGCCGCCGUCUCCUGCAGCUUCUGCCCCGCCGCCUCACCGCCCGAGCUCGCCGUCGCACCAACCUCGGCGCCGCGCCGCCGCCGGCUCUGGUCGCCUCCACCUCCGCGCCGUGAGGAACCCGCCACACGCGUCAAGGCGAGGCGCCUCCUGGGCUCCGUCCGUUUCCAGAGCGAGCGCCCGCGAAUACCUAGCUAGCCGCCGCCGUCGUGACCGUUCCAGCCACCGCCAAGGCCACACUUCCUCUUCCACCUCCGCGUACUCCUGGUUGCAGCCCCAGCUCUUCACGGGCAGGGAGAGAAGGGGGGCAUGAUCGGCGGGGCAGAGUUCUUUCGGAAGGACAGCGUGGUGGGCAACAUGGACGGAUACCUCAGCUACCUGUCCCUCGAGUAUGACUUCGUCUCGGACACCAAUCCUGCUUGGGUAUCUUCAUUUUGGAAGCAGGAGUCCUUUCCUCAUAAGAUGGAUGAGCUGUAGGAUUUGAUUCUGUUCAGCUUGAAUUAGUUUUUCAUCAUCAUGUUCUUUGUAUUAGGAAUUCAUGCCUUCCAGCUCUAAUUUUUUCGCAUUGUUAGUGUAUGCUGGGAGUCACAUUAUUAUGCUGCUAGCAAACAGUAGGAUUGGAAGUCUUACUCUGUAGAUUGGUUCCCAUUGUUACAGUGAAGUAGCUACCAAGCAGCGAGGCCAUCGAGUGACACGAGACCGCGGGACGGCGUGAGAAGAAGCAGGGGGUGUCUGGCGGGAUGGAGAAGACCACAGGGAAGUGUGGCGAUGGAGUGCAAUCCCGAAGAAGAAGAACAUUGCAAAGAAAGACCCUGGCCAAGUGCCACCCAAUUCUCUUUCACCGACCCAUCUAAUGGCCAUCAAUUCAAUUGGUCCAAGCUGUUGUGUUGACCUUCCCAUUGAUCCACUACAUCCUCGCUCAGCUGGUUCUGCUAUGUUUCUUCUCCAUGGCAUUGCUGGUUGCCGGCGUGCCUGACAUCGCGCCUUAUGUGACGUGACAUGAUGCUCCUCUACGUGUUCUUCUCACCCCGGUUUCCAUGAGGAGAGAUGUUGUUCUGUGGUUCUGUAGUUCUACUCCAUAGCAAUGAUGGAGUCACCUCCAUAUGGAUAGCAAUUAUCUCGGGAUCAUGAGAGCUGUCUACGCAACGGCCAGGGGGCAUAUGCUUCUCCUAGCACUAAGACCUCCAUCCUAUUUGAGCCAGAAUGGCUUUGGUGCCCUCUCUCGCUCAUGGUGAGGCCGUGCAUGCUUGCCAUGUUGUGGCUACGAAAUCUCAGACUGAGUCGCUUCGGUCGGGCACUAUUCAGGGGAAUAUUUGUUCAGAAUCUUCAGUCUUGUAAUUUUCUCCUUGAUGACAAUGACCAUGCUGUGCUGGGGGAUUUGGGAUUCCAUCCUUGCUGUUUGGACUUCCGCUGCCAAAUCCAGAUCUUAUCCAAAGACUUGGGACUCCAAAUUACAUGCCCCAGAACAUUGGCGACCAAACAUCAGAGGCCCAAUUAGUUACGAGACUGACUCGUUGGGGUUUCGCUUGGAGCAUUCUUGAGAUGUUCAGUGGCGUUCAGACUUGGUGUGCCAAAUCACCAGAUGAGAUUUAUCAGUCAGUUGUCCUGAAGAAAGAGAAACCGAUGUUCCUGUACAAUUUACCUACGGAGGUCGCUAAUGUCCUCUCUGGCUGCUAUGAGUAUGAAUUUCGGGAUCACUCCUUGAUGUUAGAUAUCUUACAGUCAUUUGAAAUGUAACAUGCUAAAACUCUGUUUCUGCUUCUGCCUUGUUAACUUACAUAAUUUGGUUAAACUGCCAUGGAUGGGUGAUUUUACCAUAUUUCAUUUUCAUAUUUGCUUAUAUUAUAUUGUACAAACUACUAAGCAUUAUUGAAGUUUGUCACAUGAAAGCAUGGAACUGCUUUCUUAGCUGUGUCGUUUAUAGUCAUAUAUGGUCAAUGCAGGUUUAUUUUCCUCCAGAGUUUACUUUUACUAUGUCCUGGUACUGGUUUUCUCUGCAGGUUUCUCUACAUUAGCUUUGUGUAUUCAAUUUUUUUGUUCCUGACAAGAAGUGCAUUGCACAUGCACACUUAUAUGAACAAGCCUUACAUGAUUUGCUCUUUUACUGAUGGACUGAGGAGGUCAGAGAUGUAUAACAGCCGUAUUGAUCCAAAUGACAAGUACGGCAGUGCUAACCUGCUUACCUAGAAUUUUACCACAUCCUAAGACUUGCAAAUCUGUAUAAUAGGAAUGGCUAGCUGUUUUCUGGUCUACAACCGUGACAUCUGGUGGCAUCUCUCACCAUGUCUUCACAUAGUGUUUAGUCAUGAUUCUUGCAUACUGUCGAGACUCGAGAAGGGCGUGACAUUUUUUCCUGAACUGAUUUCUAAUUUUUUUUUGCUUACCGGUUGAGCUCGGUUUCAACUCUUACCUGAGUAGUUGAUAGGAAAGCCUGAUGCAGGUGUAUGGAAAUUAUGCAAUUCCAUGAGGUUUGGAGUUGUCCAGUAUACUACUGAGGCCUACAUAUUUUGCUGAUGCAGGUUGGAGGUGACACAUGAACGCUGGCAACGCAAAAUAGCAGAUAUAAAAUAACUGCAGCUCAGGCCAUGUAGUUCUACAACAACCAAGGAAGAAGUCCGUUUUUUAAGCCGACCUUGGCCAAGCAUUUAAGCUUAUAUGGUUGCUCUCUAUUUUUCAGAGGUGCGUGUACUGAGGACGCCCAUGAUUUAGGGCCAAAAAUCUAGACAAAGUGACAAAACUUUGUACGAGACUUACUUGAAGCCAAGGAGGUCAGGGGAGGAGGACAACAAGGCUGGGGAGCGGAGGCGGAGACCGACGGGGAAGAGAAUGAUCAAGCAUGUAAAUCUAGAGCACAAGCUCGUGAUUUAUCAAGGGAGUGGCGCUGCCGCCGGAUUAGAAAAUCAUAUCUCACGUUAAGGUGUUUUUGUCUUUUGUUUCUGUACAAAUUUGGUGCAGGCAAGUUUUUGAUGAUAUAUAUAAGAUGACUAGCAUUAUCUUUUUA